rnacentral:rRNA from 1 species
AUACGGAGGACGCGAGCGUUAUCCGGAUUCAUUGGGUUUAAAGGGUGCGCAGGCGGCCGUGCAAGUCAGCGGUGAAAGCCCGGGGCUCAACCCCGGAAGUGCCGUUGAUACUGCGUGGCUGGAAUGCGGUCGAGGCGGGCGGGAAGUGGCGUGUAGCGGGGAAAUGCGACGAUAUGCCACAGAAAGCCGAUAGCGGAGGCAGCUCGCCAGGCCUGCAUUGACGCUCGGGCACGAAAGCGUGGGGAUCGAACAGGAUUAGAUACCCUGGUAGUCCACGCCGUAAACGAUGGGCGCUCGUCGUCGGCGACAGACAGUCGGCGGCCAAGCGAAAGCGAUAAGCGCCCCACCUGGGGAGUACGGUCGCAAGGCUGAAACUCAAAUGAAUUGACGGGG